GACGAACGCUGGCGGCGUGCUUAACACAUGCAAGUCGAACGGAAAGGCCCUGCUUUUGUGGGGUGCUCGAGUGGCGAACGGGUGAGUAACACGUGAGUAACCUGCCCUUGACUUUGGGAUAACUUCAGGAAACUGGGGCUAAUACCGGAUAGGAUCUCCUGCUGCAUGGUGGUGGUUGGAAAGUUUCGGCGGUUGGGGAUGGACUCGCGGCUUAUCAGCUUGUUGGUGGGGUAGUGGCUUACCAAGGCUUUGACGGGUAGCCGGCCUGAGAGGGUGACCGGCCACAUUGGGACUGAGAUACGGACCAGACUCCUACGGGAGGCAGCAGUGGGGAAUAUUGCACAAUGGGCGGAAGCCUGAUGCAGCAACGCCGCGUGCGGGAUGACGGCCUUCGGGUUGUAAACCGCUUUCGCAUGUGACGAAGCGUGAGUGACGGUAAUGGGUAAAGAAGCACCGGCUAACUACGUG
rnacentral:rRNA from 1 species